rnacentral:rRNA from 1 species
UACGAAGGGUGCAAGCGUUGUCCGGAAUUAUUGGGCGUAAAGGGCUCGUAGGCGGUCCGUCACGUCGGGAGUGAAAACUCGGGGCUCAACCCCGAGCCUGCUUUCGAUACGGGCGGACUAGAGGUAGGUAGGGGAGAACGGAAUUCCUGGUGUAGCGGUGGAAUGCGCAGAUAUCAGGAGGAACACCGGUGGCGAAGGCGGUUCUCUGGGCCUUACCUGACGCUGAGGAGCGAAAGCGUGGGGAGCGAACAGG